ACUGCAGGCUGCAACUCGCCUGCACGAAGUCGGAAUUGCUAGUAAUCGUAGGUCAGCAUACUACGGUGAAUACGUUCCCGGGCCUUGUACACACCGCCCGUCAAACCAUGAGAGUUGGCAACACCCGAAGUCGGUAGUCUAGCCGCAAGGAGGACGCCGCCGAAGGUGGGGUUGAUGAUUAGGGUUAAGUCGUAACAAGGUACC
rnacentral:rRNA from 1 species